rnacentral:rRNA from 1 species
AUCUACGGCCAUACCACCCUGAGUGCUCCAUCUCGUCUGAUCUUGGAAGUUAAGCAGGGUCGUGCCUGGUUAGUACUUGGAUGGGAGAGAAAGAAAAACAAAACAGAACUAAUUCGUACCUGUUUUUC